GCGACACGCCCGGGAUGCGGGUUGUUUUGCGGGGGUGGGGUGGUCCGCGUAAUGUCUCCUCUUGUCGCCGGAACGGGCGGGAAGCGAGAAGCUUCCGGAGCUGUUCUGGUGGUGGUGAUCCUGGUGAAACAGAAGUUGCCGUGGCCCUGAAGGGUUGCGUGUUUACCAUCAACUGAGCUAGGGUCUGAUUCUGCUUCCGACGUGAGUGCUGGGCCUUCUGGUCUGGAUCACUCCCACGGGGAGCGGUGGAGUGUGAGCUCCGAUGGCUGGCUGUGAUGGUCGGUGUCGGGAGCGUCCGUUCCUUGAGAACUCAACAGCGUGCACAAUGUCAAAUGCCAAAUACCCGUUGCGGGUGUCCUUCGGAUGCUCGUUUCGGAUUCCUUUGGAAUACAUUUAAACAAACAAGCAAGUCAGUAAUGAUUUGUUCUGUCGGUUUCAAACUUGCUGGUUCGUGUUCGAUUCCCGUUCACGUCUGGCUUUAGAUGUGCCGGUCGCUUUCGGGUGGUCGUGCGUUUAAGCAUUUAUGGAGAGUUUGAUCCUGGCUCAGGACGAACGCUGGCGGCGUGCUUAACACAUGCAAGUCGAACGGUGAUGUCAGAGCUUGCUCUGGCGGAUCAGUGGCGAACGGGUGAGUAACACGUGAGUAACCUGCCCCCGACUCUGGGAUAACUGCUAGAAAUGGUAGCUAAUACCGGAUAUGACGAUUGGCCGCAUGGUCUGGUCGUGGAAAGAAUUUCGGUUGGGGAUGGACUCGCGGCCUAUCAGGUUGUUGGUGAGGUAAUGGCUCACCAAGCCUACGACGGGUAGCCGGCCUGAGAGGGUGACCGGCCACACUGGGACUGAGACACGGCCCAGACUCCUACGGGAGGCAGCAGUGGGGAAUAUUGCACAAUGGGCGAAAGCCUGAUGCAGCAACGCCGCGUGAGGGAUGACGGCCUUCGGGUUGUAAACCUCUUUUAGUAGGGAAGAAGCGAAAGUGACGGUACCUGCAGAAAAAGCACCGGCUAACUACGUGCCAGCAGCCGCGGUAAUACGUAGGGUGCAAGCGUUGUCCGGAAUUAUUGGGCGUAAAGAGCUCGUAGGCGGUUUGUCGCGUCUGCUGUGAAAUCCCGAGGCUCAACCUCGGGUCUGCAGUGGGUACGGGCAGACUAGAGUGCGGUAGGGGAGAUUGGAAUUCCUGGUGUAGCGGUGGAAUGCGCAGAUAUCAGGAGGAACACCGAUGGCGAAGGCAGAUCUCUGGGCCGUAACUGACGCUGAGGAGCGAAAGCAUGGGGAGCGAACAGGAUUAGAUACCCUGGUAGUCCAUGCCGUAAACGUUGGGAACUAGAUGUGGGGACCAUUCCACGGUCUCCGUGUCGCAGCUAACGCAUUAAGUUCCCCGCCUGGGGAGUACGGCCGCAAGGCUAAAACUCAAAGGAAUUGACGGGGGCCCGCACAAGCGGCGGAGCAUGCGGAUUAAUUCGAUGCAACGCGAAGAACCUUACCAAGGCUUGACAUAUACCGGAAACAUGCAGAAAUGUGUGCCCCGCAAGGUCGGUAUACAGGUGGUGCAUGGUUGUCGUCAGCUCGUGUCGUGAGAUGUUGGGUUAAGUCCCGCAACGAGCGCAACCCUCGUUCUAUGUUGCCAGCACGUAAUGGUGGGAACUCAUAGGAGACUGCCGGGGUCAACUCGGAGGAAGGUGGGGAUGACGUCAAAUCAUCAUGCCCCUUAUGUCUUGGGCUUCACGCAUGCUACAAUGGCCGGUACAAAGGGCUGCGAUACCGUAAGGUGGAGCGAAUCCCAAAAAGCCGGUCUCAGUUCGGAUUGAGGUCUGCAACUCGACCUCAUGAAGUCGGAGUCGCUAGUAAUCGCAGAUCAGCAACGCUGCGGUGAAUACGUUCCCGGGCCUUGUACACACCGCCCGUCAAGUCAUGAAAGUCGGUAACACCCGAAGCCAGUGGCCUAACCGCAAGGGAGGAGCUGUCGAAGGUGGGAUCGGUGAUUAGGACUAAGUCGUAACAAGGUAGCCGUACCGGAAGGUGCGGCUGGAUCACCUCCUUUCUAAGGAGCAUGUGCACCUCUCCUCUGUAUGCAGGGAGAUCAAGGGUGCCAAGUCACGCGUCAGGCGUCUGUUCUGGCGGUGGCGCUCAUGGGUGGAACAUUGACAUUGAUGCCGGCUGAUGUGUCGGGCUGCUAGUACGCCUCCUUGUGGGGUGGGAACGUGGUCUGGUGUGUCGAGGGCAUGUUGCACGCUGUUGGGUCCUGAGGGACCGGGCCGCACCUUCUGGGUGUGUCUGGUUUCUUGUCGGACCCUUUCCGUCGUCCUGUUGUGGAUGGUGGUGGGGUACCGCCCGUAUAUUGAGAACUACACAGUGGACGCGAGCAUCUUAGAUUCACCGGUUUUCCGGUGGAUCACAAAGAUCUAUUUAUAGAUCAUUGGUCAAUUCUGUCUCCCUUCGGGGAGGCGAAACGAUUCAAUCUCAUGUGAUUUCAAGAUUCUAAGAGCAAACGGUGGAUGCCUUGGCAUCUGGAGCCGAAGAAGGACGUAUAAAUCUGCGAUAAGCCUCGGGGAGCUGAUAAUAGAGCUUUGAUCCGAGGAUCUCCGAAUGGGGAAACCCCGCCAGGCCCUUUGGGUGACCUGGUGACUCCCGCCUGAAUAUAUAGGGCGGGUAGAGGGAACGUGGGGAAGUGAAACAUCUCAGUACCCACAGGAAGAGAAAGCAAAAGCGAUUCCGUUAGUAGUGGCGAGCGAAACCGGAAGAGGCCAAACCGAUCAUGUGUGAUAUCCGGUAGGAGUUGCAUGGUCGGGGUUGCGGGACUUUCCGUACAGUUCUACCGAGCUGUGAGGGCAAUGAGCGCGAUAUAGACGAAUGGUCUUGAAAGGCCAGUCAUAGAGGGUGCGAACCCCGUAGUCGAAAUGUCGUCGCCUGUCCGGAGAGUAUCCCAAGUAGCACGGGGCCCGAGAAAUCCCGUGUGAAUCUGUCAGGACCACCUGAUAAGCCUAAAUACUCCCAGAUGACCGAUAGCGGACAAGUACCGUGAGGGAAAGGUGAAAAGUACCCCGGGAGGGGAGUGAAAUAGUACCUGAAACCGUUUGCUUACAAACCGUUGGAGCACCCUUGUUGGUGUGACAGCGUGCCUUUUGAAGAAUGAGCCUGCGAGUUAGUGAUAUGUGGCGAGGUUAACCCGUGAGGGGCAGCCGUAGCGAAAGCGAGUCUUAAUAGGGCGUAUGAGUCGCAUGUUCUAGACCCGAAGCGAAGUGAUCUAUCCAUGGCCAGGUUGAAGCGACGGUAAGACGUCGUGGAGGACCGAACCCACUUCAGUUGAAAAUGGAGGGGAUGAGCUGUGGAUAGGGGUGAAAGGCCAAUCAAACUUCGUGAUAGCUGGUUCUCUCCGAAAUGCAUUUAGGUGCAGCGUUGCGUGUUUCUUGCCGGAGGUAGAGCUACUGGAUGGACGAUGGGCCCCAAAAGGUUACUGACUUCAGCCAAACUCCGAAUGCCGGUAAGUGAGAGCGCAGCAGUGAGACGGUGGGGGAUAAGCUUCAUCGUCGAGAGGGAAACAACCCAGACCACCAUCUAAGGUCCCUAAGCGCGUGCUAAGUGGGAAAGGAUGUGGAGUUGCAUAGACAACCAGGAGGUUGGCUUAGAAGCAGCCACCCUUGAAAGAGUGCGUAAUAGCUCACUGGUCAAGUGAUUCCGCGCCGACAAUGUAACGGGGCUCAAGCACGCCACCGAAGUUGUGGCAUUUAUAUUAUAGGCAGGCCUUCGUGGUCCAGUCGUAUGGAUGGGUAGGAGAGCGUCGUGUGGCCAGCGAAGCGGCGGUGUGAACCAGCCGUGGAGGCCACACGAGUGAGAAUGCAGGCAUGAGUAGCGAAAGACGGGUGAGAAACCCGUCCUCCGAAAGACCAAGGGUUCCAGGGCCAGGCUAAUCCGCCCUGGGUAAGUCGGGACCUAAGGCGAGGCCGACAGGCGUAGUCGAUGGACAACGGGUUGAUAUUCCCGUACCGAUGAAGAACCGCCCAAGACAAUCCAGUAAUGCUAAGUGUCUGAAUCCUUGAUUCGAUCCCUUCGGGGUGACGGUCUUGGCCUAGCACACGACCCUACGCUGGGGCGUUUAGCGUAUUAACAGGUGUGACGCAGGAAGGUAGCUGAGCCGGGCGAUGGUUGUCCCGGUCUAAGGAUGUAGGGCAGAAGAUAGGCAAAUCCGUCUUCUAUGUAGCCUGAGACCCGAUGGGUAGUCCUCACGGACGAAAUCAGUGAUCCUAUGCUGCCGAGAAAAGCAUCGACGCGAGGUUCCAAUCGCCCGUACCCCAAACCGACUCAGGUGGUCAGGUAGAGAAUACUAAGGAGAUCGAGAGAAUCGUGGUUAAGGAACUCGGCAAAAUGCCCCCGUAACUUCGGGAGAAGGGGGGCCUGAGGCGUGUAGGGAUUUACUCCUGAAGCGUUUGAAGGCCGCAGAGACCAGUGGGAAGCGACUGUUUACUAAAAACACAGGUCCGUGCUAAGUCGCAAGACGAUGUAUACGGACUGACGCCUGCCCGGUGCUGGAAGGUUAAGAGGAACGGUUAGCACGCAAGUGCGAAGCUGAGAAUUUAAGCCCCAGUAAACGGCGGUGGUAACUAUAACCAUCCUAAGGUAGCGAAAUUCCUUGUCGGGUAAGUUCCGACCUGCACGAAUGGCGUAACGACUUCCCAGCUGUCUCAACCGCGAACUCGGCGAAAUUGCACUACGAGUAAAGAUGCUCGUUACGCGCAGCAGGACGGAAAGACCCCGUGACCUUUACUACAGCUUGGUAUUGGUGUUCGGUGUGGCUUGUGUAGGAUAGGUGGGAGACUGUGAAGCUCGGACGCUAGUUCGGGUGGAGUCAUUGUUGAAAUACCACUCUGGUCACUCUGGAUAUCUAACUUCGAACCGUAAUCCGGUUCAGGGACAGUGCCUGGUGGGUAGUUUAACUGGGGCGGUUGCCUCCUAAAGAGUAACGGAGGCGCCCAAAGGUUCCCUCAACCUGGUUGGUAAUCAGGUGUCGAGUGUAAGUGCACAAGGGAGCUUGACUGUGAGACUGACAAGUCGAGCAGGGACGAAAGUCGGGACUAGUGAUCCGGCAGUGGCUUGUGGAAGCGCUGUCGCUCAACGGAUAAAAGGUACCUCGGGGAUAACAGGCUGAUCUUGCCCAAGAGUCCAUAUCGACGGCAUGGUUUGGCACCUCGAUGUCGGCUCGUCGCAUCCUGGGGCUGGAGUAGGUCCCAAGGGUUGGGCUGUUCGCCCAUUAAAGCGGUACGCGAGCUGGGUUUAGAACGUCGUGAGACAGUUCGGUCCCUAUCCGCUGUGCGCGUAGGAAAUUUGAGAAGAUCUAUCCCUAGUACGAGAGGACCGGGAUGGACGAACCUCUGGUGUGUCAGUUGUUCCGCCAGGAGCACCGCUGAUUAGCUACGUUCGGAACGGAUAACCGCUGAAAGCAUCUAAGCGGGAAGCCGGCUUCGAGAUGAGAUUUCCAUCCCUUUUAGGGUGAAGGCUCCCGGCUAGACUACCGGGUUGAUAGGCAGGAUGUGGAAGCGAGGACUAAAGACUCGUGGAGCUGACCUGUACUAAUAAGCCGAUAUCUUGAAAACACUUUGCUUGCGUCCACUAUGUGGUUCCCGAUAUACGGUCGGGUGCUAAUUGAACAACCAGCUUGACUGGUCGAUUCAUCACAGAUUUCAUGCCCCGUGUGGGUGUGUAUGAGGUGUUUCGGCGGCCAUAGCGAGAGGGAAACGCCCGGUCACAUUCCGAACCCGGAAGCUAAGACUCUCAGCGCCGAUGGUACUGCAGGGGGGACCCUGUGGGAGAGUAGGACACCGCCGGACUUAACUUGAGAAUGAUCGGGGAGGCCCGUCGCACAUCGUGCGGCGGGCCUUUCUGCGUUAACACCCGAACCACA
rnacentral:rRNA from 1 species